UACGGAGGGUGCGAGCGUUGUCCGGAAUCAUUGGGCGUAAAGGGCGCGUAGGUGGCCUGGUCAGCGUGCGGUGAAAGCUCGGGGCUCAACCCCGAGUCGGCCGUGCGAACUGCUGGGCUUGAGCACUGUAGAGGCAGGCGGAAUUCCGGGUGUAGCGGUGGAAUGCGUAGAGAUCCGGAAGAACACCGGUGGCGAAGGCGGCCUGCUGGGCAGUAGCUGACACUGAGGCGCGACAGCGUGGGGAGCAAACGGG
rnacentral:rRNA from 1 species